rnacentral:rRNA from 1 species
UAGGGAAUCUUCCGCAAUGGACAAAAGUCUGACGGAGCAACGCCGCGUGAGCGAAGAAGGCCUUCGGGUCGUAAAGCUCUGUUGUUAGGGAAGAACGAGUACGAGAGUAACUGCUCGUACCUUGACGGUACCUAACCAGAAAGCCACGGCUAACUACGUGCCAGCGGCCGCGGUAAUACGUAGGUGGCAAGCGUUGUCCGGAAUUAUUGGGCGUAAAGCGCGCGCAGGCGGUCCUUUAAGUCUGAUGUGAAAGCCCACGGCUCAACCGUGGAGGGUCAUUGGAAACUGGGGGACUUGAGUGCAGAAGAGGAGAGUGGAAUUCCACGUGUAGCGGUGAAAUGCGUAGAGAUGUGGAGGAACACCAGUGGCGAAGGCGACUCUCUGGUCUGUAACUGACGCUGAGGCGCGAAAGCGUGGGGAGCAAACAGGAUUAGAUACCCUGGUAGUCCACGCCGUAAACGAUGAGUGCUAAGUGUUAGAGGGUUUCCGCCCUUUAGUGCUGCAG